rnacentral:rRNA from 1 species
AUUGAACGCUGGCGGCAUGCCUAACACAUGCAAGUCGAACGAGUGGCGGACGGGUGAGUAAUGUCUGGUAAACUGCCUGAUGGAGGGGGAUAACUACUGGAAACGGUAGCUAAUACCUCCUACCAUCAGAUGUGCCCAGAUGGGAUUAGCUAGUUGGUGGGGUAACGUCUCACCAAGGCGACGAUCCCUAGCUGGUCUGAGAGGAUGACCAGCAACACUGGAACUGAGAAGCGGUCCAGACUCCUACGGGAGGCAGCAGUGGGGAAUAUUGCACAAUGGGCGCAAGCCUGAUGCAGCCAUGCCGCGUGUAUGAAGAAGGCCUUCGGGUUGUAAAGUACUUCAAGCGGGGAGGCGUUACCCGCAGAAGAAGCACCGGCUAACUCCGUGCCAGCAGCCGCGGUAAUAC